CUAGCGGCGGACGGGUGAGUAACGCGUGGGAACGUGCCCUUUGCUACGGAAUAGCCCCGGGAAACUGGGAGUAAUACCGUAUGUGCCCUUUGGGGGAAAGAUUUAUCGGCAAAGGAUCGGCCCGCGUUGGAUUAGGUAGUUGGUGGGGUAAUGGCCCACCAAGCCGACGAUCCAUAGCUGGUUUGAGAGGAUGAUCAGCCACACUGGGACUGAGACACGGCCCAGACUCCUACGGGAGGCAGCAGUGGGGAAUCUUAGACAAUGGGGGCAACCCUGAUCUAGCCAUGCCGCGUGAGUGAUGAAGGCCUUAGGGUUGUAAAGCUCUUUCAGCUGGGAAGAUAAUGACGGUACCAGCAGAAGAAGCCCCGGCUAACUCCGUGCCAGCAGCCGCGGUAAUACGGAGGGGGCUAGCGUUGUUCGGAAUUACUGGGCGUAAAGCGCACGUAGGCGGACUGGAAAGUCAGAGGUGAAAUCCCAGGGCUCAACCUUGGAACUGCCUU
rnacentral:rRNA from 2 species